rnacentral:lncRNA from 1 species
GUGAAUACUGUUGUUCUGUUUGGUUGAACCGAUAAUUUGGACUUGGUGUCAAAUAUAUUGGUUGAAUUCAUAAGCUAAAGAGAUGGUCGAAGCCAUUUGUCAGUUUUUAUUUGCUUAUGAGAACUCGUUCGGCUAUAUUUAACAUGUAAUUCUGCUCCCUAGGUUCGAAGACUCAAAGAAUUUGGUGUUACCAAGGGUGAACUUACACGUUACAUGGAUGCUCUUUUAAAAGACAGCGAACAUCUUGCAGCUAUGAUUGAUAAUGUGUCGUCUGUUGAUAACCUGGACUUUAUAAUGGAAAGUGAUGCACUAGGUCACACGGUUAUGGAUCAGACGCAAGGACAUGAGACCUUGGUUGCUGUCGCUGGGACUGUUACGCUUGAAGAGGUAGGCUUCACAGUUCCAUUUAUUCUUAUUAGCUUUUCAAGUAGAAUGUGACACGAAAAGUGAAUAUUUAUUUCGAAAUUCCUGGUGUUUAUCAACAAAAUGCUCAUCAAUAACUGUGGAAUUUCUAUUCCUCCAUAUCAUCAUAUUAAUUUUAUUUUAUAAUAUUGGAAUUAGUUUUUUCUUAUUUUUUUAUGCGUUUCCUGUCCAGGUAAACACUGUUGGCGCCAAGGUAUUAGAAUUUGUUUCUGAUUUUGGAAAGCCCACUGCACCUCUUCCUGCAGCAAUAGUUGCUUGUGUUCCCACAAAAAUGCAUGGCGAGGGGGUUGAUGAGAGUGAUUUCAAUAUAACUCCCAGCGAAAUAUUGGAUUCUGUCAAAUCAGGAUUACUAGCACCCAUUGAAGCUGAGCCUGAGGUAAUCUUUGGUUUGGAACUUCUUUGAUUUUAACUUCACAUAGUUCAAGUCUAGAACAAAGGCUAGUUCUGAAUCAGUUUUUUUCCCUUCAUCUUUGCAGUUAGAGGUGCCAAAAGAAUUGAUCUCUCAAUCACAAUUACAAGAGUUAACCUUGCAGCGAAACCCAUGUUUUGUCCCUAUUCCUGGGUCAGGCGUAACCAAAUUGCAUGACAAAGAGACUGGCAUCACUCAGCUUCGCCUAUCCAAUGGGAUACCUGUAAAUUUCAAGGUACAUGUCGGUUGAUGAGGAAGAUGAUGAGCAAGGCAUUGCUCAUAUGAUAGAACAUGUUGCGUUUCUUGGGAGCAAGAAACGUGAGAAACUUCUUGGUACAGGUGCCCGCUCUAAUGCCUACACUGAUUUCCACCAUACAGUGUUUCAUAUCCAUUCUCCAACGCACACAAAGGUUUGUUUUCUUGUUUACGGGUUGUCAUAUUUAUUGAUUUUUGGCUUCUUUUGGUUAGUUCAGUUUUACAGGUUUUUAUUUCCUCUGUAUUUGCUUUAACAGAUAUGGUGCUUAUAGUGGUAUGACUGACUUGUGGUGCUUAGAGUAUAACAUUGAUUUUACCAAUUAUUGCAUUUUUUUUCUCUUUUUCUACUUAUUACUCUUUUUCUUCUCUCCACAUCCCUCGGAAGACUUCACUCUAUAUGUAUAUUUAUCUAAAUUUUGCAUAGGAAAUAAUAUAUCUUCACAAGCAAAAGUAGUGGGUUCGGCAUUUAUCUGUAUUUGUUGAUUGACCUUGAAACCAGUUUCUUUGUUUGAGUCGUCUGUACUUGUUAUUGUGAUAAUUUGGAGAGCGUGUCCUUAUUUACUAGUUUCAUUUUAAUUGAAGUGCUGAAACUUUUCAGGACUCUGAGGACGACCUCUUUCCAUCGGUGCUCGACGCCUUGAAUGAGGUAUACAUCAUUGAUUUGCUAUCUAAGAUGAUGUCUUCCUAUGGGAUAUGUCCUGAGUGUUUAUGUACUGAAAAUUAGAAUCCCUCUAAAUUUCAUAGGUAUAAUUCAUUUGGUGGACAAAAUCUUAUUUCUCUAAUGAUUACAGAUAGCUUUUCACCCCAAAUUCCUCUCUUCUCGAGUUGAGAAAGAAAGGCGAGCCAUACUUUCGGAACUUCAGAUGAUGAAUACCAUUGAGUAUCGUGUUGACUGCCAGGUAUUCAUGAAGAAUGUAUUUUAUAUGUCAGCAUAAAUUUUCUUUUGGUGGGUUGUCAAUGAUGCAUUGUGUUUUGUUUCCUGACACAAGUUGUUGCAACAUCUACAUUCUGAGAACAAGUUGGGUAAAAGGUUCCCUAUUGGAUUGGAAGAGCAGAUUAAGAAGUGGGAUGUUGACAAAAUCAGGAAAUUCCACGAGCGAUGGUACUUCCCAGCGAAUGCCACGUUAUAUAUUGUGGGAGACAUUGACAAUAUACCUCGGAUUGUCCACAAUAUUGAAGUAAUGAUAUUGUCUUUACAUUUCUUUUGCAUGUUCUUUUUCUCUUCAGUCGAUAUGUGUUGAUUUAUGCUUCCUAGUCUAUCUUACCCUAUCUUGACUGGACCAUCCCUCUUGCACAGGCUGUGUUUGGAAAAACUGGUUUGGAUAAUGAGGCAACACCCACUUCUUCUACGCCUGGUGCCUUCGGUGCCAUGGCUAAUUUUCUUGUCCCGAAGCUACCAGCUGGUCUUGGUGGAACCUUUUCCCAAGAGAGAACAAAUACUGCUGAUCAAUCCAAGAUCAUUAAAAGAGAAAGACAUGCAAUUCGUCCUCCGGUGGAGCAUAAUUGGUCGCUUCCUGGAACCAGUGUUGAUCUUAAGCCUCCGCAGAUAUUUAAGCAUGAGCUUCUUCAAAAUUUUGCAAUCAACAUGUUCUGCAAGGUUUUGUUUAUAAUCUUUUGACUUUGACACAGCCCACGUUAGGGUGGUAGAGUUCUAUGAAUUUUUACAAGUUUUUUUGGCCUGCCUGCAGAUACCUGUAAGCAAGGUUCAGACAUUUGGUGACCUGCGAAAUGUUCUGAUGAAAAGAAUAUUUCUCUCUGCUCUACAUUUUCGAAUUAACACAAGAUACAAGGUAUGGCUUAUGAUGAUUUAGGAUGUUGCCUUGCUUAAAGACAUUUGUUCUCAGAUUUUUCUCGAGAAGAAAAAAAAAUGUUCUCAUUUUCUUGUACUGUGCAUGCAACUUAGCUUUUUGUAAAGUAAAUUGGUAGCCCUUCAAGUAUUGUAAAAGUGGUCAAUCUAAUGGGAGUUAGUACUGUCCGUAAAUUUGAUGAUGUUAUUUGUGUACCUUUCAGAGUUCAAAUCCGCCAUUUACCUCAGUUGAACUGGACCAUAGUGAUUCAGGAAGGGAAGGAUGCACUGUUACGACUCUUACUGUCACCGCAGAGCCCAAAAAUUGGCAAAAUGCUGUAAAAGUUGCUGUCCAAGAGGUUUGCUUAUUCUUUGCUCUCACUUUUCGCCAUAGUGAAUACUGUUGUUCUGUUUGGUUGAACCGAUAAUUUGGACUUGGUGUCAAAUAUAUUGGUUGAAUUCAUAAGCUAAAGAGAUGGUCGAAGCCAUUUGUCAGUUUUUAUUUGCUUAUGAGAACUCGUUCGGCUAUAUUUAACAUGUAAUUCUGCUCCCUAGGUUCGAAGACUCAAAGAAUUUGGUGUUACCAAGGGUGAACUUACACGUUACAUGGAUGCUCUUUUAAAAGACAGCGAACAUCUUGCAGCUAUGAUUGAUAAUGUGUCGUCUGUUGAUAACCUGGACUUUAUAAUGGAAAGUGAUGCACUAGGUCACACGGUUAUGGAUCAGACGCAAGGACAUGAGACCUUGGUUGCUGUCGCUGGGACUGUUACGCUUGAAGAGGUAGGCUUCACAGUUCCAUUUAUUCUUAUUAGCUUUUCAAGUAGAAUGUGACACGAAAAGUGAAUUUUUAUUUCGAAAUUCCUGGUGUUUAUCAACAAAAUGCUCAUCAAUAACUGUGGAAUUUCUAUUCCUCCAUAUC